rnacentral:lncRNA from 1 species
AUCCUGGGAUCAAGGUGCCACGGACUGGAAAAUGCUGCUGUGGCGGAGUUCCUGUGUGAAGACAAAACUCCCAGUCCCCCAGAAAAGUGGAGGCAGAAGAGCAGUGACAAGGCAUUGUGUUUAACUUAAAAAACUUAAAAAAUGAACGGACGAAGAAUAGCUUUGUUUGCAUUCUGGUAACUGCUGAGGCUUUGGCUGACGACAGCUUUCAGCUGCACCUGAACUAGGCUGGAUUUGUCUCCUGCUCUCCAUAGGCAGAGAAGUGCGUCCAGGCAGUUUGGAGAACUGCUGGCUCAGGCUUCACCUCCACUAAUCCAAGUUCAGUCACUUUCCUCUGAAGAACCUGCAUCAAGCCGUGGUUUUAAGCUGCAGAUGGAGUUCUUCUCGCAGGACUGAAGUGCUGAAGCUCUCUGAGCUCCGAAGGCACCCUGAACUCAUGAGGCUUUUUCUUGGUUGGCAACGUGCUUAAAAAAGAAAGAAAUGCAAAUGGGCAUUUCCACGUGACUGUAUUCUGCUCAGUGCAGUGUCUGCCUGUGUUGCAGACUGAGCUCCGUGGCAUUGCAAAGAAUGCACCAAAGGUUCCCGUAUUUCUAGCGGUUGUCAGGGCGGUGGCUCAUGACAUCGUAAGGCCGUGGCGAUGUGACGUCAAGAUGUGGCCGUUGUAUGAAGUAAGUUUGUGGUUGCUGUGAAGCUGGGAGGAAUGUUGACUGCCUUGGGGGUUGAGAGGCCUUGCAGCAAGAUGUGGAGAAAUGUGAGGGUGGUCCCCAUCUGCACGAAGAAGAGCAAGCGCUGCGUUCUGCACCUGGGAUGCGGCAGCCCUGGCUAUAAGCCCUCAGCAAACAGUCGUCCUGUUCCACUUUUGGCCAGUCUCAGAUGCUUGUCUUCCAGAAUGUCUGCGUGUGGAUGAAUCACAACAGGAUCCUGGGAACUUUUAAGAAAGGAAAGAUUGCUUCACGUGUAAUGAAAAGCUAGUGUCCAGAAGAUCACUGCGGCCAGAUGCCAAUUUUGAUGCCCUCGUCAGUAAGACUUGUCCAAGCCCUGAUGUAUGUGAAACUCAUCAGGAGGGAAUGCUGGCAAGAAUCAGCUAACACAAUAGCAGCAAGCUUUCAGUGACAGCGUUAAGGAAGGGUGACGAUUCAGGCUGGGAGCAGGUAUGUCAUCACCUGACUUGACCACAUGUAACUUGAUGCUAGAAAUACACCACGUCCUCCCUCCCUGCAUGGCAAGAGAUGGCUCUCUUCUCCUGCAAAGGCAGCCGAAGUAACUUCUGUGUGCUGACUAGAGAGAGAAAACUUGGUGUCACUCCUUGCAAGUCCUGUGGCAGCCAGAUAUUGUGUGAUGAGAGUUGCUGUCUAUUUACUGUGUUUGGUUUCUUUGCUUUGCCAUGCUGUACACGAGUAAAGGAAAUGAAUGGAAU